ACUCCUACGGGAGGCAGCAGUAGGGAAUUUUCCACAAUGGGGGCAACCCUGAUGGAGCAACGCCGCGUGCAGGAUGAAUGCCUUCGGGUUGUAAACUGCUUUUAUCUGUGACGAUUUUGACGGUAGCAGAUGAAUAAGGAUCGGCUAACUCCGUGCCAGCAGCCGCGGUAAU
rnacentral:rRNA from 1 species